CAGCCGCCACGGUAAUACGUAGGGCGCAAGCGUUAUCCGGAAUUAUUGGGCGUAAAGAGCUCGUAGGCGGUUUGUCGCGUCUGCCGUGAAAGUCCGGGGCUCAACCCCGGAUCUGCGGUGGGUACGGGCAGACUAGAGUGAUGUAGGGGAGACUGGAAUUCCUGGUGUAGCGGUGAAAUGCGCAGAUAUCAGGAGGAACACCGAUGGCGAAGGCAGGUCUCUGGGCAUUAACUGACGCUGAGGAGCGAAAGCAUGGGGAGCGAACAGGAUUAGAUACCCGCGUAGUCCCUGUCUCUUAUAC
rnacentral:rRNA from 1 species